GGAACAGAAUUGACUGGGUGGUAGAGUCGUGGAAACACCGAAUCGGUAUAUCAAUACCGAUUCGAUCCGAGAU
rnacentral:tRNA from 1 species